ACUCAAAUGAAUUGACGGGGGCCCGCACAAGCGGUGGAGCAUGUUGCUUAAUUCGAGGCAACGCGAAGAACCUUACCCAGGUUUGACAUGCAGCGGACACGCGGCGAAAGCCGCGCUCCCCUCGGGGCCGCUGCACAGAUGCUGCAUGGCUGUCGUCAGCUCGUGCCGUGAGGUGUUCGGUUAAGUCCGGCAACGAGCGCAACCCGUGCCGCCAGUUGCCAUCAGGUUAUGCUGGGGACUCUGGCGGGACCGCCCGUGUCAAGCGGGAGGAGGGCGCGGAUGACGUCAAGUCCGUAUGGCUCCUACGCCUGGGGCUGCAAACGUGCUACAAUGGCCGGCACAGCGGGGCGCAAGUCCGCGAGGGCGAGCGGAUCCCCAAAACCGGCCCCAGUUCGGAUCGCAGUCUGCAACUCGACUGCGUGAAGCCGGAAUCGCUAGUAAAGGGGCAUCAGCCACGGCCCCUUGAAUACGUUCCCGGGCCUUGUACACACCGCCCGU
rnacentral:rRNA from 1 species